UACGUAGGGUGCGAGCGUUGUCCGGAAUUAUUGGGCGUAAAGGGCUCGUAGGCGGUUUGUCGCGUCGGGAGUGAAAACACCGGGCUUAACUCGGUGCUGGCUUUCGAUACGGGCAGACUAGAGGUAGGUAGGGGAGAAUGGAAUUCCCGGUGUAGCGGUGAAAUGCGCAGAUAUCAGGAGGAACACCAAUGGCGAAGGCAGCUCGCUGGGACGGUACUGACGCUGAGACGCGAAAGCGUGGGGAGCGAACAGG
rnacentral:rRNA from 1 species